CCUACGGGUGGCAGCAGUGAGGAAUAUUGGUCAAUGGACGGAAGUCUGAACCAGCCAUGCCGCGUGCAGGAAGACGGCUCUAUGAGUUGUAAACUGCGUUUGUACAAGGGUAAACCGGAAUACGUGUAUGCAGCUGAAAGUACGGUACGAAUAAGGAUCGGCUAACUCCGGGCCAGCAGCCGCGGUAAUACGGAGGAUCCAAGCGUUAUCCGGAUUUAUUGGGUUUAAAGGGUGCGUCGGAGGAUUGAUAAGUUAGAGGUGAAAUGUCCUCGCUGAACGCGGGAACUGCCUCUCAUACUGUUGAUCUAGCGCGUAGCUGCGGUCGGCGGAAUGUAUGGUGUAGCGGUGAAAUGCU
rnacentral:rRNA from 1 species